UGCGAAGGGGGCUAGCGUUGUUCGGAAUUACUGGGCGUAAAGGGCGCGUAGGCUGUGCUGUAAGUCAGGCGUGAAAGCCCCGGGCUCAACCUGGGAAUUGCGCUUGAUACUGCGGCGCUGGAAGGUGGGAGAGGAUGGCGGAAUUCCCAGUGUAGAGGUGAAAUUCGUAGAUAUCGGGAGGAACACCAGAGGCGAAGGCGGCGACCUGGAACGUGACUGACACUGAGCAG
rnacentral:rRNA from 1 species